CGCCCUGGUUGUGCGCCAUGGUGAAGAAGCGGAGGGCACCAGCCACGACGAGGACCUAGACCUGAGGCGCGUGAGUUGUGGCCGGUGGUGAGGAAGCGGAAGGGCUCCAGCGGCAUCGAGGACUUACACCCGGAUGACACAGCAAGAAGGCCAUCACCAGAGGCUGAGCAAAUGUCAGUGUCAUGUUCUUGGACUUCCCAGCCUUCAGAACCAUGAAGAAUUCAAAAUAACUAUCACAGGGAUGCUCACUGAAGUCAAGAGCAAUGGAUGAACAAAAUGAGAACUUCAACAAAGAAAUAGAAAAUACUAAAAAGUACCAAGCAAAAAUCACUAGGCUAAGAACAUAGUAACUAAACCAAAAAAUUCAUUAUAUUGGUUCAGCUGCAGACUAUAUCAAACAGAAGGGAUCUGCAAACUUGAAGACAAGUGAAUGGAAAUAAUUCAGAAGAGCCAAAAGAAAAAGGAAUGAAAAGAGUAAACAAAGCUUAAGGAAUUUAUGGUAUACCAUCAAGUGAACUAAUUGAUGUAUUAUAAGAAUUGCAGAAAGAGAGAAAGGACCAGAAAGCUUAUUCAAAGAAACAACACUGAAAAAUUCCCAAAUCUGAGGAAGGAAACAGACAUCCAGACUGAAGAAGCCCAAAGGACACCACAAAAGGUGAACUCAAAGAAAUGCACAGUGAGACACAUUAUAGUCAAAUUGGUCAGAAUCAAAGACAGCAAGAAUUUUGAAAGCAGCAAGAGAAAAGUGACUUGUUACAUACAUAUAAGGGAACAUCCAUAAAACUAUGAAUGGAUUUUUCACCAUAAACUUUAUAGGCUAGAAUGCAGUGAGAUGAUGCUCUCAAGUGCUGAAAGAAAAUAACUGCUGAACAGAAGUAUUAUACUCAGAAAAACUGUCCUUCAAAAAUUAAGGAUACAGGCCGGGCAUGGUGGCUCACGCCUAUAAUCCUAGCACUCUG